rnacentral:lncRNA from 1 species
AGUCACUAAAAACAGGAUUGGGGACUUCAACAGCAGAGUCCAGGGAAGGGGUAGGGACGGUUUUAUGGCCUGCAGCAUGCAGGGGGUCAGACCAGAUGAUCAUAAUGGUCCCUUCUGACCUUAAAGUCUAUGAGUCUAUGAGAAUGCUUCCGCCGACGUGCACAGGCAGAAAUUGUGGAAAAACAUCGCUUGCCUCAUAACCUAAGUUGUGCAGAACGCAAUGCCAUCCACAGCCUCAGAAACCACCCUGACAUUAUCAUCAAAGAGGCUGAUAAAGGAGGUGCUGUUGUCAUCAUGAACAGGUCUGACUACCAGAAGGAGGUUGCCAGACAACUCUCCAAUACCAAAUUCUACAGGCCACUUUCCUCAGAUCCCACUGAGGAAUACACUAAGAAAUUGCACCAUCUACUCAGGACACUCCCUACACUAACACAGGAACAAAUCAACAUACCCUUAGAGCCCCGACCGGGGUUAUUCUAUCUACUACCUAAGAUCCACAAACCUGGAUAUCCUGGACGCCCCAUCAUCUUGGGCAUUGGCACUCUCACUGAAGGACUGUCUGGAUAUGUGGACUCCCUACUCAGACCCUAUGCCACCAGCACUCCCAGCUAUCUCCGUGACACCACAGAUUUCCUGAGAAAACUACAAUGCAUUGGUGACCUCCCAGAAAACACCAUCCUAGCCACCAUGGAUGUAGAGGCUCUCUACACAAACAUCCCACACACAGAUGGAAUACAAGCUGUCAGGAACAGUAUCCCUGAUGAUGACACAGCACAACUUGUUGUUGAGCUCUGUGACUUUAUCCUCACGCACAAUUAUUUCAAAUUUGGUGACAAUAUAUACCUCCAGACCAGUGGCAUCGCUAUGGGCACCCACAUGGCCCCACAAUAUGCCAACAUUUUUAUGGCUGACCUGGAACAACGCUUCCUCAGCUCUCGUCCACUCAUGCCCCUUCUCUACCUACGCUAUAGUGAUGACAUCUUCAUCAUCUGGACCCAUGGGAAGGAGACCCUGGAAGAAUUCCACCAUGAUUUCAACAGCUUUCACCCCACCAUCAACCUCAGUCUGGACCAAUCUA